rnacentral:rRNA from 1 species
AUUGAACGCUGGCGGCAGGCCUAACACAUGCAAGUCGAGCGAGCGGCGGACGGGUGAGAAAUGUCUGGGAAACUGCCUGAUGGAGGGGGAUAACUACUGGAAACGGUAGCUAAUACCGCAUACCAUCAGAUGUGCCCAGGGGGGAUUAGCUAGUAGGUGGGGUAACGGCUCACCUCGGCGACGAUCCCUAGCUGGUCUGACAGGAGGACCAGCCCCACUGGAACUUAGACACGGUCCAGACUCCUACGGGAGGCAGCAGUGGUGAAUAUUGCACAAUGGGCGCAAGCCUGAUGCAGCCAGGCCGCGUGUGUGAAGAAGGCCUUCGGGUUGUAAAGCACUUUCAGCGGGGAGGCGUUACCCGCAGAAGAAGCACCGGCUAACUCCGUGCCAGCAGCCGCGGUAAUUC